UUGUCCAUCUUCUUCAUCCCUCUAACUCUCUCCACCAGUUCUUAUGCCUCUAAGUAAUCAUUCCUUAAAAUUCCACGCUGCCUUAUUGACUGUAAAAGAAUGAGCUGAGUAACGAUGUGGUAUUGAGAUUUUAAUAUUUGGUGCACAAUGUUGAUAUUGAAGUGGACUCGGAUACUUGCAACUUGAUCGAUUUGGCUAUUAAAUUUGAAGGUCGUAUCCGUAGUUUGGAUCCUCCGGUAGAUAUUUUGAACCCAACAUUUCACUAUGUUUAUAACAGGAAACACUGGUCAUUAGAUGAUGGUGGGCUAGUGACUUAGGCUAUGUUCUCAUUGAUUGAACUCAGCUGAACUGAACUGAACUGAGCUGAACUGAACUGAAUAUUUUAUAAGAGAAGGAAAUUAGGAGCUGAACCGAACUGAAUUUCAACGUAAGAGAACAAACCCUUAAUAAGCUAAAGAUGUUUAGAACAUUCCCUAAUGAUGACGUGAUAUGCAUUUUGGUUGGCACUACUAGGGAUCCAACAUGGUUGAAUAAUGAUUUAGUGUUACGGGGUAGGAUGUCUCACCCACAGCCGCCACCACUUGUAAAUCAUUGAUAAAAAUCUAAACCUAAGGUGUAUCAAUGAUAAAAUUUCCCUAUAAUAAAUAGAGUUUCCCCCUGAUUGAUGGGCUGGUAGCGGAUAAUAUUAAAUAACAUUUAUCUGAUUAAUUAUGACAUUAUUAUUUCGUGUAGAUGAAAAUUAUAAUAUAUUAAUCUUUUAAAUUUAAUCCCACCUCACCACCACUUAGAUCUGAAACCUCAUUGCACCACCACCAAUACCUCACCCCUUAUUGGUUAAUAAGUUGAACCAUACCAAAUUUGCAAGGAGGCGGCGACUUUGAAAAAGGCUAAGUGGGCGUUGAAGAAGUGAAGCAGCGACUUUGAAAAGGAAAAAGUAGGUAGUGGUAAAGUGAGGCGGCGAUUUUGAAAAGGGUGAUCGAGGUGGAAGGGGCAGUGAGUUGAUUUGAGUGGUGGUGGUGGUUUCGUGGUUGUGAGAGAAGAGUGAGAUGAGGGAAUAGUGCUGCUGCUGUUGGUGGUUGAGAAGGAGGAGAGAGAAAAAUUGGUGAUGUUGGUGGUGGAUGUGGUUGUGAGGGAUGAGAGGAAAUGUGAGUUAGAGUUUUAAUUAUGGAUAAAUUAAAAAUAUAGUAAGGGUAUAAAUGUAAACUCAAACAAAAAAGUUUACUAUAUUGGGAAAGUUUUUUUUUAAUUUGAAUAUAAUGUGUAGCUUCUGUUUUGGGAAAUUGUUGCAAACACCGUGAAACGGAAUUAGUAUUUUUUUUUUCCACUUUUGUAAUCCGUAAUUACAUUGCAUGGUUCAUUGUCAACACCUUCAUUUUUUA